UCUGCAUAAUGUUCUGGCAACUAUGGCUUGGCACAAGGCAGAGGAGGAUGUUCUACUUAAGAUAAAAGCCACCUCUGCAGGAACGAGGAAAAGAUAUCCUCCCUUGUGCUUUUGCUGAUGCUCUCCUUAUUUUCUGUGAAGCUUGUCUUCCUGUUAGGUACCUAUAUGUGCCACUGAUCUCUUCCAGACUCGAAGGAUUCAACUGCAGAACUCUAAUGUGCCACUGAAAUUGAUUGGGCCAGAAAGGACAGAAAAUGAGUUACUAGAGUGACUUCUUGUUAAUUGUUAGAGCAUUGUGGUUGUCAAUAAGCUCGAGCUUAAACGGCAUCCCUUCGUUUCAGGAAUAGUGGAAGGUUACCGGAUUUAACACAAAUGGGUGCAUUUGAGACUUACAAUAAAACAAUGGAGCACCAAACUGCAAUCAAGAUCAAUGCAUGGUGGUGCUUUCUAUACAUUGGUCUCAUAAUUUAUCUUCUUUUCGUUGAAGUUAUGUUUAAUUUUGCAUGUAAUUUAUUUUGACAUUUUUGUAGAAUUCCCAAGCUGUACAGAAAAGGGGAAAAAUGGAAAAGACAGAAUUUGGCUGAUGUGCCUUCUAAACGCGAUAUGUAUAUAUUAUGAGA